UGCCAGCCGCCGCGGUAACACGGGGGGCGCAAGCGUUAUCCGGAUUUAUUGGGUUUAAAGGGUGCGCAGGCGGAACUUUAAGUCAGUGGUGAAAUCUUGCCGCUUAACGGUAAAAUUGCCAUUGAUACUGAAGUUCUUGAAUGUAGUUGAGGUAGGCGGAAUGUGUCAUGUAGCGGUGAAAUGCUUAGAUAUGACACAGAACACCGAUUGCGAAGGCAGCUUACUAAACUGUUACUGACGCUGAGGCACGAAAGCGUGGGGAGCGAACAGGAUUAGAUA
rnacentral:rRNA from 1 species